rnacentral:rRNA from 1 species
GACAGAGGAUGCAAGCGUUAUCCGGAAUGAUUGGGCGUAAAGCGUCUGUAGGUGGCUUUUUAAGUCUGCCGUCAAAUCCCAGGGCUUAACCCUGGACAGGCGGUGGAAACUACCAAGCUGGAGUACGGUAGGGGCAGAGGGAAUUUACGGUGUAGCGGUGAAAUGCGUAGAUAUCGUAAGGAAGACCAGUGGCGAAGGCGGGUCUCUGGACAGUUCCUGACGCUGAGGCACGAAGGCCAGGGGAGCAAACGGG